rnacentral:rRNA from 1 species
UACGUAGGGGGCAAGCGUUGUCCGGAUUUACUGGGCGUAAAGCGCGUGUAGGCGGAAGCGCAAGUCCGGUGUGAAAGCCCCCGGCUCAACCGGGGAAGGUCGCUGGAAACUGCGCUUCUUGAGGACGACAGAGGGAAGUGGAAUUGCUGGUGUAGCGGUGAAAUGCGUAGAGAUCAGCAGGAACACCCGUGGCGAAGGCGGCUUCCUGGGUCGUGCCUGACGCUGAGACGCGAAAGCGUGGGGAGCGAACGGGAUUAGAUACCCCGGUAGUCCACGCCGUAAACGAUGGUCACUAGGUGUCUGGGGUAUCGACCCCCCAGGUGCCGCAGCUAACGCAUUAAGUGACCCGCCUGGGGAGUACGGCCGCAAGGUUGAA